GCGCGGCCGCCGCGAACGGGCGCGGGAACAGCGCGAGUGGGACCGGGGGAAAAGCCCCGCCCCUUCCGGGACACGCCCGCCCGGGGGCGGGGCCGGGGCUGGCCACGCCCCUCGGGGCUCCAGGACACGCCCCCCGCAGCAGCAGCUCCAGCAGCAGCAAGGGGGCGGGGACAAGGAGAAGGGGCGGGGCCAGAGGGAGGCGCGGCCCGAGAGGAAAGAGAAGCCUCCCGAGGAGCCGCCGGCGAAGCUCCUGGACGAUUUGUUCCGCAAGACCAAGGCGGCGCCGUGCAUCUACUGGCUGCCCCUCAGCGACGCCCAGCUGCUGCAGAAGCAGGCUGAGCGGGCAGCCCGGGCCCGGGAGCGCGAGCGGCGCCGGAAGGAACAGGAAGAGGAGGAGCAAAAACAGCGGCAGCUGGGAGGGGGCGGGGCCACGUCCGGAAGGGGCGGGGCCAGCUCGGAAAG